GACGAACGCUGGCGGCGUGCUUAACACAUGCAAGUCGAGCGGUAAGGCCCUUUCGGGGGUACACGAGCGGCGAACGGGUGAGUAACACGUGGGUGACCUGCCUUUAGCUCUGGGGAUAAGCCUGGGAAACCGGGUCUAAUACCGGAUACUGGACUCCGGCGGCGCAUGUUGUGGGGUGGAAAGCCUUGUGCGGCUGGAGAUGGGCCCGCGGCCUAUCAGCUUGUUGGUGGGGUGAUGGCCUACCAAGGCGACGACGGGGUAGCCGGCCUGAGAGGGCGACCGGCCACACUGGGGACUGAGACGACGGCCCAGACUCCUACGGGAGGCAGCAGUGGGGGAAUCUUGCGCAAUGGGCGAAAGCCUGACGCAGCGACGCCGCGUGAGGGAUGA
rnacentral:rRNA from 1 species